AAGGUACUCCCUCCGUCCGGAAAUAUUUGUUCCAAAAAUGCUAGAAUAGAUGUAUCUAUAACUAAAAUAAAUCUAGAUACAACCAUUUUAAGGACAAGUAUCUCUGGACGAAGGGAGUACGUA
rfam:Triticum aestivum genome assembly, contig: Triticum_aestivum_CS42_TGACv1_scaffold_375987_5AL